rnacentral:rRNA from 1 species
CCUACGGGAGGCAGCAGUGGGGAAUAUUGCACAAUGGGCGAAACCCUGAUGCAGCGACGCCGCGUGAGCGAGGAAGUACUUCGGUUCGUAAAGCUCUAUCAGCAGGGAAGAAAAUGACGGUACCUGACGACGAAGCCCCGGCUAACUACGUGCCAGCAGCCGCGGUAAUACGUAGGGGGCAAGCGUUAUCCGGAUUUACUGGGCGUAAAGGGAGCGUAGGCGGGUAAUUAAGUCAGAAGUGAAAAGCCAGGGCUCAACUUUGGGUCUGCUUUUGAAACUGUGUAGCUAGAGUGCAGGAGAGGUAAGCGGAAUUCCUAGUGUAGCGGUGAAAUGCGUAGAUAUUAGGAGGAACACCAGUUGCGAAGGCGGCUCACUGGACUGUAACUGACGUUGAGGCUCGAAAGCGUGGGGAGCAAACAGGAUUAGAUACCCGAGUAGUC